rnacentral:rRNA from 1 species
UUCGUGUGAACAGUGGUUGAUCACGAGUUAGUCGGUCCUAAGUUCAAGGCGAAAGCCGAAAAUUUUCAAGUAAAAUAAAAAUUUAUUAAAUUUUUUAAACACUUGAAUAAUUUUGAACGAAAGGGAAUACGGUUCCAAUUCCGUAACCUGUUGGGUAUCCGUUUGUUAUUAAAUAUGGGCCUCGUGCUCAUCCUGGCAACAGGAACGACCAUAAAGAAGCCGUCGAGAGGUAUCGGAAGAGUUUUCUUUUCUGUUUUAUAGCCGUACUACCAUGGAAGUCUUUCGCAGAGAGAUAUGGUAGAUGGGCUAGAAGAGCAUGACAUAUACUGUUGUGUCGAUAUUUUCUCCUCGGACCUUGAAAAUUUAUGGUGGGGAUACGCAAACUUCUCAACAGGCCGUACCAAUAUCCGCAGCUGGUCUCCAAGGUGAAGAGUCUCUAGUCGAUAGAAUA